AGGACAUAAAGUACUGAAGAGAGGU
rnacentral:piRNA from 1 species